rnacentral:tRNA from 1 species
GCCCGGAUGGCGGAACUGGUAGACGCAGCGGAUUCAAAAUCCGCCGAGCUGACACUCGUGUGGGUUCGAGUCCCACUCCGGGCA